rnacentral:rRNA from 1 species
UACGUAGGGGGCAAGCGUUGUCCGGAAUCAUUGGGCGUAAAGCGCGUGUAGGCGGCCAGAAAAGUCCGCUGUGAAAACUCGAGGCUCAACUUCGAGCUGUCGGUGGAAACUUUCUGGCUAGAGUCCGGAAGAGGAGAAUGGAAUUCCUGGUGUAGCGGUGAAAUGCGCAGAUAUCAGGAGGAACACCUAUUGCGAAGGCAGCUCGCUGGGACGUAACUGACGCUGAGACGCGAAAGCGUGGGGAGCAAACAGG